CGCACAUUGCGCCCUUUGGUAUUCCGAAGGGUAUACCUGUUCGAGCGUCAUUUAAACCCCUCAAGCAUAGCUUGGUUUUGGGCGUCUUGUCUGUACCAGACUCGCCUUAAAAGUAUCGGCGCUAUCCUAUCAAAUUAUGGAAGCACAGUACAUUGUUGCUACUAAUUAAAAUAGGGGAGUAGCCAAACAUAUUCUUUUAUUAUUUUGACCUCGGAUCAGGUAGGGAUACCCGCUGAACUUAA
rnacentral:misc_RNA from 1 species